rnacentral:rRNA from 1 species
AUUGAACGCUGGCGGCAUGCUUUACACAUGCAAGUCGAACGGCAGCACGGGGGCUACCCCGGGGGCGCGAGGGGCACAGGGGAGUGAUACAUAGGGACACGCGCGGUCGUGGGGGGGAAAGUCGCGCGAGAUCCGCUAAUACCGCAUACGCGCUGAGGGUGAAAGAGCGGGGCAUCCGGGCCUCGCGCGAUCGGAGGGGGCGAUGUCGGAUUAGCUAGUUGGUGGGGUAAAGGCCUACCAAGCCGACGAUCUGUAGCUGGUCUGAGAGGACGACCAGCCACACUGGGACUGAGACACGGCCCAGACUCCUACGGGAGGCAGCAGUGGGGAAUUUUGGACAAUGGGCGCAAGCCUGAUCCAGCCAUGCCGCGUGUAGGACGAAGGCCUUCGGGUUGUAAACUGCUUUUGUAUGGAACGAAAAGGUUCGCCCUAAUACCGGCGGCUCAUGACGGUACCGUAAGAAUAAGCACCGGCUAACUACGUG